rnacentral:misc_RNA from 1 species
UUUCCGUAGGUGAACCUGCGGAAGGAUCAUUGUCGAAGCCUGCCCAGCAGAACGACCCGCGAACUUGUAUAAACAACCGGGGGCAGGGGCGAUCUCGCCCCGUGCCCUCGUACGGCAGGGAGACACUCGUGCCUUCUUGUCGAACAACGAACCCCGGCGUGGUCUGCGCCAAGGAACUUCAAUUAAAGAGUGCCUCCGGUCGCCUCGGAAACGAUGCGCGUGUCGGAGGCGAAUCUUGUACAAAACCAUAACGACUCUCGGCAACGGAUAUCUCGGCUCUC